rnacentral:lncRNA from 1 species
CAGGAUGUAAGUUACACACUAGAGUAAUCUGGAUGAAUAUGUAGCUUUUUCUGGCUUUUCUUAAAUCUAUAAAACUUUGAAUGAUUCACACAGGGCAAAUUAUCAAGCUGUACAGACUAACAAUCAACAAUUCAGUGCAUAUUUUUUUAAUUUAAAUUUUGAGGGGAAUUAGUAAUAUGGCUUUGCAAAACGCACAUACAAAAAGCUUAUCUUACAUGAUUUAAGUAAGAUUUUUGGAAUUAUUUCAGAAACUAUCAUUGUUUUUAUUCUCUAUGUUUGACCCUGGGGAAAAGGACCCAAGUUUGGCGUGUCAUCUUAUUCGUACCUCAGGAUUUGAUUGGUUUUGUCCAAUUCACACAUGGGAAGGGCAUUAGAAACCUAUUUGUUUACAUGAAGGUGGACAGAUGGAAGGUCGAAGUCCUAUUCUGUAUCUAAGGCUAUAGGAAAGAGAGAAGCAUGGGAGAAAAUUAUAUUUAUGUGGAAAAAUGAUGGCAUAAAGCUUUUGUACCAAAAUAUAAACUGUGAGUAUUUGCUUCUUUCAGUUGUUUAAAAAGGGAUAAUUGCUGUUUAGUUCAUAUCAGGAAUAGUCUUUUAAAAUUGUGUGUCUGCACUCUUUUUCUGCCUCAUCUCUGCAGAGGCAUACUGUGGCCCGACAGAAGUUGCUUGCCAGCGGAGGGAUCUCAAACAGAGCAGAGCUCUUUUUAUUGAGGUUUGUUGAAGACGGAAGAAAGACUAUGGAGUUUGAAAAAGGUGUAAGGAGGAAUUAUUUGGAACGAAGGGAACCUGAGCUGAUGCCACUCCAAAUGGAUGGGAAGAGGAGAGCCAAUUCUGACUUCUGUGGUGCCUCUUACGAUGUACACGGGGCACAAAAAAGAGUCACGCGCUACUGAGGCCCACAAUGUCGGGACUGCUGUUUCACAGAGGCAAAGUUAGAGACACACAUACCAGAAAAAUGUACAUUCCACCUAAGAGUUGGGGAAAUGUUGCCACCAACACUUUCGCCCUCCUUUUUGGGUCUAUAUUUCACUCACUUCUUUUGAAGUGUUUGGUUUUGCAAGAUACAAAAAGUGACUGAGGUGCUGAAAAUUCUCCGUGUAAGUGAGAGAGAGUUUCCCAAAGAAAAGAGUAGGAAACAGCAGACUAGAAGCUUUGAAAGAAGUGUCUGAGUGGAUAGGAACUGUGGUGGGUAUAAAGAUUGUCUUGCCAAACACCCACUUCCAAUGUCUUCUGAUAUGCUUUCUUGGAUUUUAGGCACUAGAAAGCUAAUGAAAAAAAAUCUAUUUUGUGGAUGUCCUCAUUGCUAAGGUCCUAGAAGUAAUUUAAUCCCUGUCAAUCUUGUGAACUGAGUUAAGUGGAGUAGCGAAAAAAUGUGAGGCAUCUGUUAUGCUGGAGAGAGAUGAUUUCAGAGCCAACAGUCAUUGCAACGACUCAAUGAUUUGGCCAACCAUUGUCUGUUUAGCUUUUUCCUGAUCUUGGUACAGGUGGUAUCGUUCUGGAGGUAGUACCUGUGGGGGAAGUUCUCUGAUUCUGCAGCUUCCUGAUCAGUGUUAGAAGUAGCAUCUAUCUUGGUAGUACAGUUCUUUGCUACGUUGUUGUUGGAAGCUCAACCUAUAGUCCCUUUUUUCAGCCCUUUUAACAAUUCUGUGACAUAUUUAUACUCUUUAAUAGUUUUAUUAAACUAGUUAGAGUAAUAUAAUUUGUCUGAAAUUAAGAACUUGUUGGAAGAUAAUUCUCCAGGGGUCUCCCCUAUUUUUGCUCAUCUUGCUGCCUUUCUUCCUUACUAUCUUUUGAAAGAUGUUGACAUAGUGAACAGCCUUGGGAGAUAGUGAUAGUGUGUUCCUCUAGUGCAAAGAGUAGGAUGCUUACUGUCUAAUAGAAUAAAGCCGUGAUGUUGUGAGCUGCCUUAUAGAGA